rnacentral:lncRNA from 1 species
CUAGAGACCCACCAGCAUUGUGAUAUCUUGUUUAGAUAACAUCUUUUGUGGAAAAUUAAAAAAAAAGAAGGUUACUAGGAUGAUCAGGAAAGAUUUGGGUGAGUUGGGAAAUGAUUGCAGUCUACAGAAGCCUAAAAUCCUAUUGACUUUCAGAUGCCAGAAAGGCCUGCUCAUGUCUGCAAGAUGAGUUUCUCAUGGCUCUGUGAUGAUAAUGUGUUGAUCCUUAUCCAGCAUGAGCUAUCUACAUCAUCUUCUUUGACUGCUAAGCUCUCAGAGCAAACACUGCUGCUGAGGAACAAAAGUAAGGUUUUCAGACUCGUUUUGGGAAGAAUCUUUCUCAUCUACCACUGCAAGCUGUAGAGGAAAUUGAGUUCAUCAACAAGUGUCUCCAUCCUGCUCUGGAGCAGAAGAAAACCGUGAUUACCUGACAGCCAUUAGUUUACCUGUAGUGGGAGAGCCCCAUCGCUCCACAGCAUCGCUCCUAACUUUUGUCAUGCUGCAAUGAAGCAUCCCUGGAGUUCUGCAAUGGUUCCUAUGUGGCCGGAGUGGCUUUCUUAUUUCAACCUCUUGAGCAUCGAUUGUUGAGUCGCUUCCUCAUCAUUAAAAGCUCGUCAGGGACAAGCUCUGGAGUUCAGAAGCUCUGUGCAGUCACCAUGGCCUUCGGAUGCCCCAAGGGCACCAGCAGAGAGGAACGAGUGUGGCGAGAGCGCAGGCAGCUGUGAGCACACUGCAAUGUCAUUGCUGUACAACAAAUGCCAGCACUGAACCAGAGGGAAAACUGAUGGCAUUCGGGGAUCACUGAAUGGAGGACUGGGCAUUCAGAGCUUCAUACUGCCCAGCAGUGAGAAGCAGACAUACGCUUUGCUGAUCUCAUGUACUCCUCCACCAUAAAAAGCUGCUCGCAGUUACAGUGAUGUUUCUAGAAGAGGAAACUUCAGGGUUGAGUUUCUCCUUUAGACGGUGCAAGUGCUCCCUGUAUUCUAUUCUUCAACCAUACAAAUGCUUAUAAAAUAGAAAUGUGAAUUGCCUCGGUGCUUUUAAAUACCUUAAAAAUAAUAAUUCAGGGACUCCUGUAUGAGAUGGAGCUGUCCCUCACUGCUUUAACCUGUGGAGUAGGUUAGCAUAACAUGGAAUCAAUUAUUGUACUAGACAUAUAAAACUGUCAGGUUUAAUACUUAACUGUAGUAUUUGCCUUGAAUGCUUGAUUUCCAGUCAUGUGUGAAGCUCCAGAAAGACAGAGAUAUCAGACAGAUUUUGGUGGAAGAAAUGACUUUGAGUACCCCGAGUUACAAAGGGAAAUCUGGAUGAGUGAUACACCCUGGGAAAGGAGUCCUUUUUCAAUCAAACACUUCCCAGUCCCUUAAAGUAAAGUAACGCAGAACACAAACUGCAGAACAAAUAUUAAGUUUCUAUUCUGCAUUGCCAUAGUUGAGACACCAUCUCAUUUCUUUCUCAGCUUCUCUGGAACCAGCUCUGCUUUAGCUGGAACAUUCUACCAAUUCUUUUCCUUUUUUUUUUUCUUAUUUCUGUACACAGAAGGAGAGAAUCAAACACAAAAGAUCUGCCUUGACUUUCACGGCUCUUCUAAUGCUUACAACUAAGCUUUAUUAUAUUAUUUAUUAUACACAAUGGAAAUAAUUAUUAUUACAGUCUUUCCUCUGUCAUGUGCUUUAUUACAUGACCUUGUUAUGGCCAAGGUUGCAAUCUGACAGUGUGCACUGCAUCGGUAGCGGUGACUGCUGGCAGGGAGUCCUUGGUUUGGGACUCUAAAACUGAUGGAUUAAACAGCAUUAAGGACAGUGAAGUGCUAAUACUGCGGUAAUGGACACUGUAAUAUUUCAAAAUAGCUCACAAGUAGAACCAAAACAAUCCAUUGGGCCACUCAAAUCAUGCAGGGUCUGGUUGGAAGCUCCUGGCCAUCUGACACCUUUGGUGUAUUGCUGUAAGUCCAGAAGCACUUGCUACCUGUAGUCCAUAAUAAGUUGGUAACAAAGAGUGAUAACAGUAUGAAGUGGAAGAGAUAUUCAUCUUGGCGUAUUUCAAUCUAGAAGUGACAAUCCUGGAUUGAUUCAUUCUCUGAGGAAUAAACCUCCUCUUACAAAAAAAAAAAAAGAAAAGAAAAAACAAGUUUAAAGAAACCAGGAUUUAUCCUCAAGAUCACCACUCAUUUUCUUUUAGAAAUUACAUUCUAGACAAUAAGAGAUCACAGACCUGUAAAUUGCAUUUUAACUUUCAGGUAACAUACUAGGGCUAUAACAAAAUCUGAGGACUAUUAUCAUAGCAAAAUAACUGUAAUGCUUCAAGGCUGUAAUAACCAUCUCCUUUUUAUCAUCCAUACUACCAUCAGGCCAAGAAACAGUGAAUUUCUUUAAUGUUAUUCUGCCAUAACCUUUAACUGUAUGCAUUAUUUCAAACACCUGGAAUAAUACUUUAUAUGGCACAACAGAAUAAUACAUUUGCCACUCACUGCACAGCAUAGUUGGCUAAACCCAAAUGAGUACAAAUGCUUAAAUCUGCUGUGCGUAUCGUAGAUAUACAUCCAUUCCUUCUACUGUGCUGUGGACUGACCUUUACGUGACAAGGAAGUUGAAGGAACAUUAGAAAGCAUAAGGUUUGUACUUAAAGUCAAUGAAGGCUCUUUCAGUUAUAUCAUCAUUAUAAAACUGUACUGCUUACCUGGUUUUGGGAGGGCUGUACUUGGCUAGCUCACACACACUUUAUGUGGAAUCUACAGCAUAAAUACUCUGUGGGUUCAUUAUAAAAAUAUGUUUGUGAUAUACCUUUCUGGUGUCCUUUGUGUUCUUUCAUGAAGUGUUUAUUCCUGUUAUAUCAAGCAUAAUGCAUAAUACCAACACCAUACAUAGAGCAUCUUGAUAAAUAAUCAUGCAUAUGCUCCAGUGGUUUUCUACAUAAAUGCUCCUAUAUAUAAGUUACUACAGCCCAGGGCUCUGAAUGGAUCAAAUUUGUAAACACAUCACUAUAUUUCUUACCUCUAUUGAAGUGUAUUAUGAUAGCAGUGCUGGCAUUUAUCUAGACUGUUGAUAUAAAGGUUUCUACCCACACGAGCAAUGCAUAUUGCAUUAUGCAAUUCUGUAAUAAACUGCUUGAAAUAUUACCAGAGACAGAGCAUGCUGGAAAACAUUGAGUGAGCCCUGAGGUGGAAUGGUUCCUACUGAGUACAGAGCACUUUGGAUCAGGCCUUGGAGGAUACUACCUAUAAAAUAACACGUUUGAAGAACUUAAUUGUGAUUUCCUCAAUGUCACCCUGUCACUCUGAAAACCGGAUGCUUUAGUUCAAUGAAAGGUCUCAG